GCGUGAUGACAUGGGGAUACGCACUUAUUAUACAUCACAACAUUUUAGGAAAUGGUCCUUCAAGCUUGAAAGACGGCGACGUGGCUGCCCUUUCUAGCCCCGUCAUGAUAGUUGGCUGGCAGGCCCUGUGGAUUGUAUCUUCUGGACUCCUGUGCUGGGAUGCAAGUUUUUCUUGGGCUGAAUUGCAAUGCAUUUGUCGAUGCUAGCUGGACCUGGGAGUUGGGUCCCCCUUUGAAUCAGAAACCAUCUUGGUAACAUCCCAACUAGGGUUCUCUUCAUGCUGUAACCAAGCUCUUCUUCAGCUGAGGAGGAAAAUAAAUCCUCGCUGGGGCUUCAAGAUCUAUGAAGAGGAAUAUUGAAAUGUGUGCAAUGGUUCCCUCCCGUAGGCGCUGUGGUGUAUUCUAGUCGCUGAGAAAGAGCCCUCGCAUCCUACCCAUGGUGUCUCUCCUUGGGGAGUCCCUCUCACAGUCUUGACGGAUGUUCCAGGUCAUGUAACUGAUGCAACAGCCCUUUUGAACACUGUUUCUCCGGAGGGGGGCACGUCUACAGAACAGUAGACUUCAGACAGCACAGUAUCCUAACAUGCAUCUCUGGCCACUCGGACCACACCCGGAUCAAUAUGACAAUGCUCAUGCGAUGUGAAGCGAGGAAGUAGCCAAAAGACAGAUUAGUUAGCUUUUUUUGUACACUGGCAAGCAUUGUUAAUUGGUAGAUAAUUAGUUAAAUGGGGUAACUGAAAUGUUUAGUCAAAAUGUUUUGUACAUAAACCAACAGCAACAAACUACCAGAUCGCCUCAAGGUAAGUCUGUUGGCUGUAUUUUGCAAUGAGACGACCACAAGAUCUUCAUCGUCGUUCAGCUCAAGGUGAGGUGCUGGUUACGUUACUUAGGGAUGGUUCGUACUGGAACGUUACGAUUCCAGUAUGACGGGGCUUGGGGUUUCUGUAGAGGUUGGUAGUUAGUUUUGUGCAGUCUGUGAAGCUCUAAUGCUGCAGUACUGUGUGGUGGAGGAUAACUGGCAGUACGAACAGGAUUGGCAAUUGCGUUACGUCAUCCACACCUUAUUAUGGCGUCUGGCAGUACGAUCAAUAUUGGCAUUUGCGUAAACCUCAUAACUAAUGAGCGUACCCAAUUAAGGUAAUCUGGCAGUGCCCCAUUUCUAUAGGUAACCAUCUGCGAUUAUUGGUAAAUCCUUAUGCACUAGAAAUUAGGAAGGGCACUCUUAAAAUAUAUUUUUAAUUAUCCCACAAAAUACCUCAAACUACUUUGAUAACUGCGCUCUACAAUCAACUCUCGAUUUUCUGCGCAUACAUUUAUCGGGUCGCGUAAAAGAUGGAGACGACGGCAUUUACCUACUACGGCUUUUUAUUUCUUCAACAACCCAGCAGCUGAAUGUGGCCAAGUAUCAUUUUACUAUCUAAAUUACUAUUGAUAUUGCUAGUGUUCUAAAUAUCUGGGCUGUGAUCUGCUCAAUAUAGUUUCUGCUAGACUUCAGAAACAAAAGGAAGGGUUAAAUGUAAGUGUGCUUAUUCACGUAUUAUCAAAUGGCAUAGCUGUUUAGAAAAGUAAAGUUAAUUGUUGCGCAAAUGCUACCAUAAACCUUUGACUUUUGAAUAAAUCAAACUAAGCACAAGGCAACUAAGAUACGUGGUGACCAAGAACUCUUAUAUUGAUGUUCAGUUUAUUAUUGGUGAGGCAGUGAUGUAAAGCGCGUCGUGGUGUUUUUAAAUGGAUGAAUGUUGUGCUAACAGACGGGGGGAAACUCCAGGCCUUGCAGUCCUGAUCCUGUAUGAUGCAGAAGAUGUCAAUCCAACCGCACAUUGAUCUCUGCAGCGUGGUCGGUGGGAGGAGAUGUGGCCGAGCUGUUGAACCAGGCUCUAUCGGUACCCGAUGGCCUUGGCUGAUGGAGGAACUGCAUCUGGAGGACGACCAUGAAUCUACCUGCCAACAGGUGGUACUGGUUUGCACUGGUUUGCAUGAACUGAACAUGGUGGACAUGAGGCAAAUUCCCUGCUGUUUGCCCCAGACCAGGACUGGGUGAUGGAGGGGUGGUGAUGGAGCCGUGCUGAGGACCUGCUGGUGAAGGACGUCCCUCGUGGGGGGGCAAG